ensembl:rRNA 5S_rRNA 5S ribosomal RNA
AUCUAUGGCCAUACCACCCUGAACGCGCCGGAUCUUGUCUGAUCUCGGAAGCUAAGCAGGGCUGGGCCUGGUUAGUACUUGGAUGGGAGACAUGGGUUUAAACCAUGGGUCGGGAAGAUC